rnacentral:rRNA from 1 species
CGGAGCAGCGCCGCGUGAGUGAUGAAGGUUUCGGAUCGUAAAGCUCUGUUGUUAGGGAAGAACAAGUGCAAGAGUAACUGCUUGCACCUUGACGGUACCUAACCAGAAAGCCACGGCUAACUACGUGCCAGCAGCCGCGGUAAUACGUAGGUGGCAAGCGUUGUCCGGAAUUAUUGGGCGUAAAGGGCUCGCAGGCGGUUUCUUAAGUCUGAUGUGAAAGCCCCCGGCUCAACCGGGGAGGGUCAUUGGAAACUGGGAAACUUGAGUGCAGAAGAGGAGAGUGGAAUUCCACGUGUAGCGGUGAAAUGCGUAGAGAUGUGGAGGAACACCAGUGGCGAAGGCGACUCUCUGGUCUGUAACUGACGCUGAGGAGCGAAAGCGUGGGGAGCGAACAGGAUUAGAUACCCUGGUAGUCCACGCCGUAAACGAUGAGUGCUAAGUGUUAGGGGGUUUCCGCCCCUUAGUGCUGCAGCUAACGCAUUAAGCACUCCGCCUGGGGAGUACGGUCGCAAGACUGAAACUCAAAGGAAUUGACGGGGGCCCGCACAAGCGGUGGAGCAUGUGGUUUAAUUCGAAGCAACGCGAAGAACCUUACCAGGUCUUGACAUCCUCUGACAACCCUAGAGAUAGGGCUUUCCCUUCGGGGACAGAGUGACAGGUGGUGCAUGGUUGUCGUCAGCUCGUGUCGUGAGAUGUUGGGUUAAGUCCCGCACGAGCGCAACCCUUGAUCUUAGUUGCCAGCAUUCAGUUGGCACUCUAGGUGACUGCCGGUGACAAACCCGGAGGAGGUGGGGAUGACGUCAAAUCAUCUGCCCCUUA